UCUCUCUCUAAUUUACUCCAAGACUUGCACACACAAAUCUCUCCCUCUCUCUAAUUCUCCUCAACAUUUAUUGUUGUUUGAACUAAAUCAAUGAAAGAAAUAUCAUCAUUCUCAUCAUUCCUUCAUCAUAUCUCAAUUUGAAAGUCAAAGGUGCAAGAAAUCAUUGUUUGUAGCUCAAAUUCGGAGUUGGUCCUUGGUCGAGAUCUUGUUAUAGGUGGAGGAUGCAAAGUGAACGUUGAACGCUUGCGACUCCUUUUUAUACCGACUUUAACUUCUUUUGCCGAUCAAGGUGAGUUUCGUAGCUCCCUACUCGUUUGAGAUUCGGGCUGUAAAGUGUACACAUACAUGCUUGUUUGAUUGAUUAUUUGAUCGAUGGAUGAAUUUAAUUGAUUGUAGGAUGGUUUAUGCAUAUGAUUGUGAUAUUGUUAUUGUUUAGGAUAGUCGUACAUACAUGAAAGUCGGUUAUGUUUUUAAAGGGUUUUAGAUGUGGUGCUGCGGGUGACCCUAUACAUAAGCAUCUAGAACUUGAUGAAAGUAAAACCCUUCGAAGUGUAUGUACAUGGUGUUAGUGGAAAUGGGUGGGCUUGUGAUUGAGAUUGAUUAUUUUGGUACUUAAUGAUUGGUUUGAUGUACUCCCAAGUGUUUUACACUUGAGAACAUGCUUUUGCACUUCUGCAUUGGUUGACGUACUCCAAAGUGUCUUGCACUUGAGAACAUGCUUUUGUACUUACUAAUUGACCGGCUUGAGUUACGAUUUCUCUUAUUGCUCGAUUACUUGUUUGAUUGAUUUGUUGACGGUUCAUCCUAUUGUUAUUGGGUUAUGUGUUUGGAUUGGAUUACGUGACAUGUUUAGGAUAGUAGUACAUACAUGGAAGACGAUGAUACAUCUAAUGAGUUGUAGAUAUGGUGGGAAGGCUGUGGGUGACCCUGUAAAUAAGCAUCUAUGGCUCCUUAAAUGUAAAGUCGCUUGAAAUGUAUGUGCAUCGUGGUUUUGGUUAGAUUGUGGUACGAUGAACCUGUGAAUGGAUUUGGUCAUUCAUGUACUUAUUGGUUGGUUUGAUGUACUACCAAGUGUCACACACUUGAGAACGUGCUCUCGUAAGUCAUACUACCAAGUAUUUUAUACUUGAGAACAUUGUGGUUGUGGUGGUUUUUGUUAUUGUUGGGGUACACUUAUGAUACAUUAUUUGAUGUCUUAUGGUUUGAGCACACAUGUUAUGCUUUCUUUAUCUAUUGUGAUUAGAAACUUGUACGUGUACUAAUACGUGGUUAGGUUACGCCAUGAUUAACCCUCUUUACUUCUUGUGUGACGCGAUGGUUUACCGUAAGUUAUGAUUUUCUUACAUUUUGUACAAUUAUGACUUGCUUAUACUUUACAUAUAUUGUGACUUGGAUGGUUCCAUGUGAACCAUUACUACGAACUCACCAACCUAGUGUUGACCUUGUUUAGUACAGAUUUCAGGUAAUCAGGUAAAUCUGGGAUGUGGAGUUUGAUUGAUUUUAUGUUGGACUCGGGUUUGGACUUACGUGGAUCAAGGAUUCAUUUGCCCAUUGUUUACUUUAUGCUUAGGAUCGAUAGCCAUCUUUUGAUAGUCUUUUGUAAACGCAUGAUGGUUACUUCCUUCUUGUGCAUUUGUACUUUAUAUUUGAUGUUUGGAUUCACCGAAUCCCUUUUAUUCAUUUAGACUUAUUCUACGAUAAUUCCAUGCA